rnacentral:rRNA from 1 species
CAUUAAAGAGUUCUAUAACUCCCAAACCCAUGUGAACAUACCUAACGUUGCCUCGGCAGGUCGCACCUACCUUGUAGCACCCUACCCUGUAGGGCCUACCCGGGAGGUGCGGGUAAGCCUGCCGGCGGCCCACCAAACUCUGUUUGAUAUUGAAUUCUGAACCUAUAACUAAAUAAGUUAAAACUUUCAACAACGGAUCUCUUGGUUCUGGCAUCGAUGAAGAACGCAGCGAAAUGCGAUAAGUAAUGUGAAUUGCAGAAUUCAGUGAAUCAUCGAAUCUUUGAACGCAUAUUGCGCCCAUUAGUAUUCUAGUGGGCAGGACCGUUCGAGCGUCAUUUCAACCCUUAAGCCUUCGUUGCUUAGUGUUGGGAGCCUACGGCAACGUAGCUCCUCAAAGUUAGUGGCGGAGUUGGUUCACACUCUAGACGUAGUAAUUUUUUAUCUCGCCUAUUAGUUGGACUAAUCCCCUGCCGUAAAACCCCUAAUUUAUCAAGGUUGACCUCGAAUCGGUUCAGACAAACUCGCUAAAUUGAAGCAUCUUAGUCAGCGAAGGAAAAGAAACCAACAGGGAUUGCCCUAGUAACGGCGAGUGAAGCGGCAACAGCUCAAAUUUGAAAUCUGGCCCUCGGGUCCGAGUUGUAAUU